AGCAGGAAGCAGUAUACAAAUUAAGAGAGCUAAUAAGUACCUUCCCCUAUCAGGUUAUAAUUGGCUAGAAAAUGGAAGAUUUCAAUAAAUUAGGGAUACUAGAAUUCAGAUGAAAGUUGCAAAAGAAAAAACUAGAUAGGCAAUGCUAGAGAUGGCAGGUUCUGGAGAAAAGUAGUAGUAAGGACCAUAGACUUUAGGGAACAGAAAUUGCUUAAAUGUUAGAUUUGACCUUGUAUAUUAAGCUGUAGAGGUGAAGGAAAGAGCUAGGCUUUUGAAUUUAAAAGACUCAGUUUCCACAGAAUGAGGGAAAAGAUAGGCAUAGAUAAUUGGAUGCUGUUACUGUAGGGUCAUGGUGGAGGCAGGAAGGUUAGCAUGAAGUAGACUGCAAGGACCCCAGGAAAAUGAUUAUAUAUUCACAUCAUAACAUCUUAGAGGUGCGUGGAAAAUAUUGUGCUGAAGAUACACCAGCUUACUACAAGGGUCUUACGUCAUGUCUUCAACAGAGUUCCCACAAACAAGGUUUUCAAAUAAUAGUGAAGAUAAUACCAGAUAUUUCAGAUAUCUUCAGAUACCUGAAGAUACCAGGUUUUCAAAUAAUAAUGAAGAUCCUAAAAUACAACAGCAGGUUCAGAGCAACGUAUCUUCUCUUUCGGGGAUGGUGACCUCUAGGCUUCAUUAAGAGUUGAUGAAGAGAGACAGGAUCCUCUGAGGCUAAAUAAGAACACCUGAAUUAAGUUUCUAGACUGAAUCUUGCUCUCUAGGAGAAACUGCUCCUUUUUACUGACUACGGAGGAAUCUUGGAAGACUUGUCUCCCUUUGUUGACAUGAUCCUUUGAUUAACUGCUGAAGACGUUAUAACCUUUUUCUCCUAAUGAGUUGCAUUAGUGUAAUUUAAAUCUCAUUAAGUUAAUUGUACUCUGUUAGACUUCACACCUCUGAAAAUAUGUUUGGAAAACAUGAGGGAUGUUUAAUGCAGUAAUGUGCUAUACAAAGUUCUCAGUUAAUGUUUGGGUAAAUUUUCCUCACAGUUAUGCUUAUACCUGGAAUAGUUAAGCUAACUGAAGGGAUAUUCCACAUAAAGUAUCAGUAAUUAUUAUGAAGCAAUUGUCUUUUUGUAUUGAAUAUAUCAGUAUACUUCCUAAAGAGCUAAUGCUUUAAGUGGUGGAUCUAUAAGAGCAUUUGAUCUUUCCAUACCCUGAAUUAAAAUAUUAUAUGUUUGAAUUUUGCCAUCUGUAACUGCCAUUUAAAAUAGAAAACAAAGUACCCCCAUUUCUGGGAUCCCUCCCAGGUGCAUUGGGAUAAAUGCUGUUGCCUUCCUGCAAAGGAGUGCCUACCAUAUCCUCUUAAGAUUGCAUUUCUUUGAGAGGUCUUCCAAAACCAACAAACCAACCCCCUGCCCAACCUUGGAAAAAUCUUGGCUACUGUUUGAGGCUAUAAGACAGAAAUAGCAGCAUCUGCUCUCCUGUGUUAGAAAGCUUGCUGACACAUUUGUGUUACUGCAAAAACUUCCCAAAGUUUUGCUUCCCCAAAGAAAUGUCAAGUUCCAGCCUUGAGUGAAUGUCUGCUUGCAAAGAUAAGCUUUGAUUGCUGCAGGUGCUUAGACCAGGUGUAGGACCUAUUUCUGAUGCUGGGGAAGGAAGGCUCACAAAGUUGUGGGGCCUUUUGGAGACUCUUGCCAGCAGCAUGUUGCUUUGACAAGGCAAAUCCAACCAGCUAUGCUGUGCUUGGGAUGGGAGUGAAAGCAGUCUCUUGGAUCCUAUUUCUUGUAGGUUUUCAUAGGACAAUAAUUUGUUUCUGGGCCCUUUCAGAAGGUGUGGUUCUGAAAUGGGGAAGUACUGGAAGGUUGGCAGGCACAGACUCUACCCAGUCAGUGAGUAGGAGUCUUCCUUUUGCCACCUUUGAUUUCCAAUACCUGUCUGUGGCCUGCUCCAUGGGCACCACCACAUAAAGUAACACAGUCUAGACUUGGCAGUGGGUAGAGUUCAGGCUAAGGAGAGGCAAGAAUAAGAAUGUGUCUUUAGAUCCUGAUUGUAAUCAGGAAGUCUUCAUUUUUUUCUUUUUUCUGCCUAAGUUAUCACUUUUCCACAUUCCAGCUCUCCCACAUUGCUAUUAAAACCUCCAUGAGCAUUCAUGGGGAUCUCAAAUAUUAAUAAAAGAAUGUGUAUCUUCCUUUCUUUCCUGUGAACUGUAGUUGCUUACCUUCCCAGACUUGAUUCUUGGUCAACUUCACAAAUCUUCCUUGGGCCUGUACCCUACAGGGUUGGUGAAGUCUGUGGUGGAUGGAAGUGAUGAGUUAUGGUGAAAGCUUUCUUAUGCAAGAGAUAACUGUGAGAAGCCUGUACUAAGUAGUAAAACUUGUGAUGAAAAUAAGUAAGGGAUGGAAAAGGAGAGAAGAAAGGUUGCUGCAGCAACAACAGCUGUGCAGGUGUUAAAUAUACUGAUUAUAAUUUUUAACUCCCUGGAGAAUGGAGUUGGUAAUGGCUUAUUGCUGACAAAGUGUUUUAGAAGGACAAUGGAAGCACUGCAUGUUUGGGUAUGCAGUAAUGUUACUUGUGUCUUUUCAAAGUUGCUUUCAAAGGAAAGCUGCUGUCAGUCAUAAUGCAGCCAACACUGCUUUCAUCGUUAAGGUUCCCUCUAUUCCAACAGCAAGGAUUUGUUGUUCUUCUUUACAAUAAGAUGUUUCUUGAAUUAUGCUGGGAGGAAAAGGAGAAAAUAAGCUAUCAAUAGUGUUAGUCAGGUUACUUGGUGUAGUACCAGAAAGCAUCAAGAAUGAACUCCAACAAAGGAAAAAGCAAUGAGGGGAAUCACCAUCAGUAGAACUCUCCAACUGGAGGGCAAGAAAGUCUGGGGAGAAAUACCCUAAAAAAACACCCUAAAAAGAGAGGAGAAACAUCAAAGCAGUCCCAAGCUGGAAAAAUUGCAGACAAAUAGCAAACAGGAAAUUUGCACAGAACAUUAACAACUUGUCAGGAGGUAAGGCAAGUGAUGCAUUUAUUUAUUUAUUUAUUUUUCUCUUGGUGUUUUGUUAAAGACAUCUUCAAACAGGAGAAAAAUGGCAUUGGUCAAAGUGUAAAAAGUGACCAAUAAGCAGGCUGUAUGUUAGCUCAAAAAGUCAGGCACUCAUCAGAUUUUCAUCUUACAGCAGAGAUUCAGGGGAGAACAGACUACAAAAGAAAUUUCUUUGUGAACUCUGAGAAAAUGCUGAAGGAAAAGAAAAAACAUUGAAAUGUUUCUUAUGAUUCAGUCUGGCAUAUCUUUGAGGAGCUGUAACAUUCCCCCAAGGAGGUAGAACUUGGUAUGCAGAUCUUCCUGUUGUCUUUUGACUCCCUGGUAUCUAUCGAACAACUGAGCCUUUUGUCUCUUUGCCGUUCUUCUAACCUUACAACUCAUAGGUUCUUGGCUGCAGGAAGACUUCAGUUUUUAACCUGUGUACUGUUGUACAGAAGACAGAAAUCAGAAUGGGUAUGCAAACCACUAAGUUCAGAAGGCUUCAGCCUCAAUUUUGAUUUCCCUUAUGCUCUCUUCUGCAAUCCCAGAACAGACCUAUGUCCAAGAGGGUGGCAGUUUGAGACAUGUCCUGUUGACUUCUGAGUGUCACUUAUUCAGCAUAUUUAAGUGUGAAUUCUUGCACAAUGUGUAACAAAGUAGUGUGAUUUUUACUCUUUGAACAAAAUGUCUAGUUUUCACAUGCUGCAGACCUUGAUAUAAUGUCUGUGUCCUUUUGGAUUCUGGCCUCAAAAUGCUAGGACUCUGCAACGUUUGAGUUCAGCUAGGAUGUUUAAGGCUUUUGAAAUUGUGACUAGGAUUCACUCUGAAAAAAUCCUCAGCAUUUUUCUCCCAGAGUUCUAAAGAUAAAUGUAUCUUUUCUAAAAGAUACCCGAUCUUGACUGAAAUAUUUCAGACGAAUAGAGGGUAGCACCUGGCACACUUCAUCGUGGGCUAUGAUUUAACAUGCCUCACACUUCGCUCUUUUCUCUUUCCCUGAAUAUAUUCUAACAUCAGCUUCCAGUCUCUGACUCGUUAUGCUACUUUGUUCCAGUCCUGAACUAAACUGUAUCUGAAAUCUUGCCCCCAGUUAUGUUGCGAAAGGUAAGAAGUGCCAGUCUUCUAAAGCAGACACUACAUAAUGUGGUAAAAUACAAUGAGCAGCCAUUUAUUAAAAAGAGAUGUACGUAUGCAUCCCACUGUCUGAUUUGAACAUCCAGAUGAUAAAAGGAGGCAGCACAAUGAGGAUGCUAUUUCAUUCAUCCAUUCCUGUACUUCAAUAAUCUGAGAACUUGAAAGGCAUAAAUAUGCAAUGAAAUCUUUAUUUUUUUUCAGUUUUUUAUAUCACAAUGCAUGAUAAGAAAAGAGACUUUAGACGAGGUAUUUUAAUAUUGGCCCUUUUUCAAUUGUUGACAACUGAAAAACAUACAGCAACAAUAAGCUAUACAACCUGACCAUGAGGCAGCUUCUAAAUAAUUACUAGGCACAAGCUUGUCAAUGCUUUAAUAAAGCGUUAUUAAAGGUAGGGGAAUAAAAUCAAAAAAGAGCUGUUUAUCAGCUUGCUUUUGUAUCUGGAACAAGUUGGAGCAGACUGGUAAGAGGCUUUCACAGAAUGUGAGAAAAUGCUACAGCUAAUUCAUUGGGUGGAUUGACCUUUGGUACUAUUGUUUCAGCAGUGUUUUGCAAAUCUUUUCCUUCUUCAGUGUGUCUCCUUUACCCAAUCACAAAGGCAAAAUGGGGGAGGCUUGCAUAAAAAAUGACUGAAAGUUGGUUUCUGUUGGGACUUAAACCUGAAAACUUUGAAAUAACAGCUUUUUGCAAAUGUAACUCCCCACAUAUUCCACCCCGCCUCCCCCUCCCCCCCAAAAAAAAAAAUUAAAAAAUGGGCUAGUCCUUUGACUACAAGAGCCCAAGCCAAAUGUAUAUAGAAACAAAGAAAGCUCACUCGAAAGGCCAGGAAGUACUGGGGCAAAAUUCAGUGGUGUUUUGAAACAUCUCUUAUCCUGCAAAGAAAAAACUUCUUAUUCAGGUUUGGAAAUCCAAAGCACAUUUAGUAUAUCUGAAUACAUAAAUCAAGCAAUACAAAGUUGAAGUAAAGUAGAAAGUAGACAGCAUCUCUUGUAUGAGGAGAAUUUGAGAAGUGAGACUACUUAGUCUAGAGAAGAGAGGGCUCAAAAGGAACUUAUCAAUGUAUAUGAAUACUUCAUAGGGUGGUGUAUAGAAGAUGGAGCUACCCUCUUCUCAUUGGUGUCCUGUGAAAGGACAAAAGGCACAAAUGGGCAGAAAAUUCAAUUUAAACAAGUGAAAAUACUUUGUUGUUGUUGUCAUUUUGUUUUACCAUGAAAGUGGUCAAAGAGUGAGACAGGUUUCUCACAGAGAUGUGAAGUCUCCAUACCUGGAGCUGCUCAAAACCCAGCAGGCUGCAGCACUGACCAACCUGCUCUCUCUGCCCUUGCUUUGAGCAGGGGUUUGGACUUGGCCAUCUACAGCUGUGCCUUCCAGCCUCAGCCGUUCCAUGGACAGAAGUCUUCCCAGCCCAGGCAGGGCCAUUCUGCUCUGUGUGACUGGUACCAGCCAGGUGGAGUGGCAUGAGCCAGAGCACGCACAGAUAACUUCCACGGUUAUGAUGUUAAGCAUCAUUUUCUGCCAAAGGCUUUUGUAUGUGCUCUUUAACUAGCACAUCUGGGCCCCACCUCCCAGCACGCCAAUAUGUUCCAUCUAGUCCUUUAUGAAGGCCUUAUCUAAAACCAGCAGAAGUCAAUGUGUUACUUCCUACUGACUUUUGCAGACAGGGCUUCAGUUCCUAAUCUAGCUUUGUUCUCUGCUGGUAGCAGAUGUGGAUCGUAAAGAGGAGGCAUUUUCCUGGCUAGUGGCAAAGGAUCUGAUGUAAACUGCUGUUCUUGGUCUCUCCAAAGGAAGGCCCUGAAUCUCCCCAGUAUUAGGGCAGCUGGUGGAACUGCUUGGGAUGCACAUUAAUCCCCCUCCAGAAUAGCUUGUCUGCAAAAACUAGUUCUGUGCUGUCACUGAAAGCUCCCCCACCGCAUGUGCAUGCGUGCAUGCACACACAUUCCUGCCAGCCCAUCAUCUCUGACUGGCAGCUAUUUUUAAAAAGCUGCCUUCUGUUUUGUCUUCUGCUUUCCUGUCUUUGCUCACGUGAAUCUCUCACUGAUGCCAUCUCUCCGUUUCAUAGUCAGGGAGCUUUUCCCCCAUAUAAAACUGCUUUGCUUUUAAUCCCACUCCACCAUCCUCACCAUCACGGGCAGCUCUUUGCCUUUCCAUUUCAAAGGACAGACUUCCAGUUUAUGUUGUCACCAGCCAAUUUCUUUAAUACAUAACCAUGCACAACAUGCCUUUCGUUUCCAACAGCGAUUUGUUUUGCAGCAGCCUUUGUCUUGCAGACACCUGCAAACUCCUUAUUGAUUUGUCCUGUCGGCUCUCCCUGCUUGGUAUCUGUACUGUCAGGGGCUCUGGCUGUUCACUUCCUGCAGCUUUUCUCUUCUUGUGUAAAGGUGCAGGUGGGUGCACCCGUGAGGCCUCUAUUGUCAGCAAAAAUGGUGGGCAGAGAGCAGAGGCAGAGUUUUGUAGUUUUAUUAGGGAAUGCCCACCCCCAGUUAAAAUACACUGGACUUCCAGUGGGGCUAGAAGGAUAAAUAACUUCCUUGCAGUCUCGUCCAAAUUUAUAUAUUUAAACAAAGCCCUUUUAUCUGUCUCUGCACCCAUAGAAAGUGCAAAAGGCUCCACUACAGCGCUUUCUGUGGCUUUAUAAAUACUUUUCCUUUCCUUUCCCUGCUUUCUUGUUGCAGCUGAAUGAAUACAGGCCAGGGUAGUGAGUGCCCCCACAUCCCAGUAGACUUGGCAUUAAAAAGAAAACAAAGAAGAAGAAGGGUUUGAUGUAAAAUGACCAUUUACUUCAAAAGAGCAUUGAUUGAAUAAUAGAUCAAGCUCCACUUUGGUGCAGUAUUUUUAAUGAAAGAUGGGCCUUUGCCUGCAUGCUUCUGCACAGUAUUAACUCGAGAGACUGAAAUGUAUCGAGUAUUCUCUCUAAUUUAAUAAAAACAGUGGUUAAUUCUCCUCUGGCUGCUUCUCUUUGCACUCAUUGGCCUCUAAAAAUACAAAGGUGAGAUUUAAAUCGAGCUCAGCCUUCUAAAGCUUUGAUCAGCAGACUAGAUUGGUUUUAUGUAGCAUAAACUAAUAGGCAUUGGGGUUCAGAUUCCCAGCUAGAGUGAAACAAAAGGCUCCUGUGGUGCCUGGAGCAAGGCUGGCUUGCUCUGGUGGAGAGCUGAUCCCUCUGCACAGGGGUAGGAUUAAUUCAGUCCCGCUGAAUUAUAACACCCAGAAUGGCUCAUGCUGUCUAGGGAGUUUGCCAGUGGUUUAAAAUAGAGAAUUUGGGAUUGUACAUCUUGACCCCAGUCUCACGUCACCACAGGAGGAGUACCCUUCUCCAGUCCCCCUUGCAGUUCAGUGCUGUUCCUCCUGUCAACCUGCACAGUACUGCUUUUUCUUUAUCUCCUGCUUCCUGUCCUGUGCAGAAUUCUUCCUUCCACCCUCUGCAUGAGUCUUGCUGAAAUGCCCGUGUGUGCUUCUCAUCGCCAUCUCCUCUGUCUGGCACUGCAGUCACAAAAAAAAAAAGCCAAGUUUACUUCUUCUCCCAGUUGCUGUCUAUGGAAAUCUUACCAUUUACAUGAAUGGCCAUAAAACCAGGGCAUAAUUAUUACCAUAAGCAGAAAUUGCAGCGUUGCUUUAGCCCAAAUUCUAAUCACUUGCUGUUAUCAGGAGCAGUAAGCUGGCUUUGAUAAAUUCCUUUCUCAACGUUAUUUUAUUAUAAUUAUUUGCUGUUCUGCUUUGAAUCUGCAAAUUAUCUCAUACAGUUAUAUUUACAUAUGCAAUAAAAACUGGGUACAUGAUCUAUUGUCUUGCCAAC